rfam:Lupinus angustifolius cultivar Tanjil chromosome LG20, whole genome shotgun sequence.
CCUGCUGAGUUUCAGUAUAUCAAUAAGCGGAGGAAAAGAAACUAACAAGGAUCCCCUUAGUAACGGUGAGCGAACUGGGAAAAUCCCAUCAUGAGAAUCGGUCGCCCUCGGUGUCUGAAUUGUAGUCUGGAGAAGCGUCAUCAGCAGCGGACCGGGCCCAAGUCCCCUAGAAGGGGGUGCCGGAGAGGGUGAGAGCCUCGUCGUGCAUAGACCAUGUUGUACCACGAGCCGCUAUCGGCGAGUUGGGUUGUUUGGGAAUGCAGCCCCAAUUGGGCGGUAAAUUCCAUCGAAGGCUAAAUACAGGCGAGAGACCGAUAGCGAACAAGUACCGCAAGGCGAAGAUGAAGGACUUUGAAAAGAGAGUCAUAGAGUGCUUGAAAUUGUCGGGAGGGAAGCGGCUGGGGGCUGGCGAUGUGCCUCAGUCGGAUUUGGAACGAGGAGAGCCAGUCCGCCAAUCGACUUGGGGCAUGGACUGACGCGAAUUGUGAUGGUGGCCCAAGCCCAGGCUGUUGACAUGCUCAUGAAGACGUCAUCAUCGCGAUUGUGGUAGGAAAUGCGCGUCGUUUCGUGUGCUUCGGCUCCUGCGUGCUCCGGGCGUCGACCUGUAGGCUCCCUAUUCGGCCCAUCUUGAAACACAUACCAAGAAGUCUGACAUGUGUGCGACCUAGAGGGCAAGUAAACCCGAGAAGCACAAUGAAGCUGAUUGGUGGGAUCCCCUUGUGGGUUGCACCACCGACCGACCCUGAUCUUCUUUGCAGGGUUUGAGUGAGAGCAUACCUAUCGGGACCCGAAAUAUGGUGAACUAUGCCUGAGCGGAGCGAGACCAGAGGAAACUCUGGUGGAGGCCAGCAACGAUACUGACGUGCCAAUCGUUCGUCUGACUUGGGUAUAGGGGCGAAAGACUAAUCGAACUGUCUAGUAGCUUGUUCCCUCCGAAGUUUCACUCAGGAUAGCUAGAGCCUGUAGGUGAGUUCUAUCGGGUAAAGCUAAUGAUUAGAGGCAUCGAGGGUGCAACGCCCUCGACCUAUUCUCAAACUUUAAAUAGGUAGGACGAUAUGGCUGCUUUGUUGAGCCACUCCAUGGAAUUGAGAGCUGCAAGUGGGCCUUUUUUGGUAAGCAGAACUGGCGUUGCGGGAUGAACCGGAAGUUGGGUUACGGUGCCCAACUGUGUGCUAACCUAGACCCCACAAAGGGUGUUGGUCGAUUAAGAUAGCAUGACGCUAGUCAUGGAAGUCAAAAUCCGAUAAGGAGUUUGUAACAACUUACCUGCCGAAUCAACUAGCCCCGAAAAUGGAAGGCGCUAAAGCGUGCGACCCAUACCCGGCCAUCGGGACAAGGGCCAUGCCCCAAUGAGUAGGAGGACGCGACGGUCGCUGCAAAACCUAUAGCGUGAGCCCGGACGGAAUGGUCGUCGGUGUAGAUCUUAGUGGUAGUAGCAAAUAUUCAAAUGAGAACAUUGAAGGCCGAAGAGGGGAAAGGUUCCAUGUGAAUGACACUUGCACAUGGGUUAGUCGAUCCUAAGGGAUGAGGAAAGCCCGUCUGAUAGUGCUCUAAGCGCGCACUCCGAAAGGGAAUUGGGUUAAAAUUCCUGAACCGGGAUGUGGCGGCUGACUACAACGUUAGGGAGUCCGGAGACGACGACGGGGGCCCGGAAAGAGUUAUCUUUUCUGUUUAAUAUCCUUCCCACCCUAGAAACAACUCAACCGGAGGUGGGGUCCAGCGGCUGGAAGAGCACCGCACGUCACGUGAUGUUUGCUGCGCCCCCGAUGGCCCUUGAAAAUCCAGAGGACCGAGUGCCUCCCACGCCCGGUCUUACUCAUAACUGCAUCAGGUCUCCAAGGUGAACAACCUCUAGUC